AUAUAUAUAUCAUUUAUCAUUUUCUGUCGUCUUUCCCAGUCUCAACAACAACAGCAGCAGCUAGUUUCUCUGUGCCUUAACAGUGGAGACUGAGAGAAGAAAAUUAGAGUUAGUCCCAAAAUCUAGAGAUAGAAGACUUACUUACGGUUUCUAAACAAAAAUUGAGGCGUUGUCGAAAUGUCUACACUCAACAGGGAGCUUGUCUUCCUAAUCCUACAGUUCUGUGAUGAGGAAGGAUUUAAAGAAACUGCUCGCAAGCUUGAACAAGAAAGUGGAUUUUAUUUUGACAUGAGAUAUUUUGAGGAGAUGGUUCUUAGUGGGGACUGGUGUGAGGCCGAGAGGUAUCUCUCUGGUUUCACAAAUCUUGACGAUAAUCGGUUCUCCACCAAGAUAUACUUUGAAAUCAGGAAGCAAAGUUUUUUGGAGGCACUGGACAGUAAGGAUCGUGCCGAGGCUUUAGAUAUUCUCAUGAAGGAUCUGAAAGUUUUUGAGUCGGGUAAUGAAGAUCUGUUCACAGAAAUGACUCAACUUUUGACAUAUAAUGAUAUAAGAGAACAUAAUUCUCUUGCGUCCUAUGGGGAUACCAAGUCUACCAGGGAAAAUUUAAUACAAGAACUCAAAAAAAUAAUUGAGGCAAAUCUGCUUUUUAAUGGAAAAUUAAAGUUUCCUACCUUUGGAAGCCAGAGGUUACGCCGUCUCAUUAACCAAGGCUUGAAUUGGCAGCACAUACAAUGCAAGCAUCCCCAUCCAAAUCCUGAUAUUAAAACCCUUUUUGUUGAUCAUGUUUGUCAGCCAGACAAUGUUUCUCCUGUUGAGUCAACUAAGAACAAUCCUAUUCCUUCCCAAGCUACAUCAUUGUCAGUUCUGACUCCUCCUGGUAGUAGGAGUUCCAGUCCGUCUACCAUAACACAAUCUACCCUCCUUGAAGCACCCAACCCCGCUCAAGAGCUGCAUGGAGACUCUGAUAUAUCAUCCAAAGAUUUUGGGGCCUUGGACGAAGUAGCGUCUAGUAUCUUUGACCCUGGUCAAUGUCACGACGUGGUACCUACCAAAGACGUAGACGUGCCCAAGAAUGUAGCUCUAACAUUCAACGAGGACUCACAUCCAAUCACCAUGGAUUUUCAUCCUGUUAAGCAGACUUUGCUGCUAGUUGGAACCUUUCUUGGGGACGUAGGACUGUGGGAUGUUAGUUAUGGGAAAAAAUUGGUUUCAACAAAUUUCAGAGUUUGGAAUAUUGGAACAUGCUCAAUGGCUUUCAAGGCGGCUUUCGUCAAAGAUCCAUGUAUCUCUGUAAAUCAAAUUAGGUGGAGUCCUGAAGGCUCUUUAUUUGGGGUUGCAUAUUCAAAACAUAUUGUGCAAUUAUAUUCUUAUUCUGGAGGUGAUGAUGUUCAACAAGGAUUGGAGAUCGAUGCCCAUGUGGGUGGUGUAAAUGAUUUAGCAUUCUCUUUUCCUCAUGAUUGCCUUUUGGUCAUAACAUGUGGCGAUGACAAGACAAUUAAGGUGUGGGAUGUGGCUACUGGUGACAAGCAGUUUACAUUUGAAGGUCAUGAUAAACCUGUUUACUCUGUUUGUUCCCAUAUGAAGGAAAAUAUUCAUUUUAUCUUCUCAAUAUCAGUGGAUGGCAAGAUUAAAGCAUGGUUGUAUGAUAAUAUCGGAUGCAGAGUAGAUUAUGAUGCUCCUGGUCUUGGGCCCACAAAAAUGGCUUAUAGUGCUGAUGGUCAAAGACUUUUUUCAUGCGGGACCAAUAAUGAUGGGGAGUCGUUCCUCAUUGAAUGGAAUGAAAGUGAAGGUUGCAUUAAAAGAUUUUACCAAGGACUCCAUAGAUGCCCCUCAACUGUUGUGCAAUUUGGUACGAUCAAGAACCAGCUUUUGGCUGCUGGUGAUGACCAUGUGAUAAAAUUUUGGGACAUGGACAGCAAAGAACUUUUGAGAACAAUUGAUGCAGGCAGAGACCUACCGGUUGCUCCUCGGAUUUGCUUGAAUAAAGAGGGAACAUUGUUGGCCGUUGUUGGAAAUGAAAGCAAAAUCAAGAUCCUAGUAACUGAUAGUGGACUUCAUUUGUUGCAAGCAAGUGAGAAGCAUUUUGUUGAUGCUCCCUCUGAGAAUUCUGAAACUUUGCAAAAGCUUUCAAUAAAUCCAAGUGCAAAUGAAGCUAAUGUUGAAUUCACUAAAAGAAGUAUCAUCCUGAAGAAUGGAGACUUAGAGAAAGCGGUGGAUGUGAAAUCCUUACUUACUGGAGAAGAUGACAAGGUCCAGAAUCUCAUUGAGUUUGAUAAACCUUCUCGAUACCAAUCCUUGCAACUUUCUGCUCUUAUUAAAACGAGAAAGAUAUCAGGCUUGAUGUACACUAAAUCAGGUAAUGGAAUUUUAGCGUUAGCAUCAAAUGGUACUCAUCUACUUUGGAAAUGGCCACAGAACGAAUUGAAUUUGACUGGCAAGGCAACAACCAAGGUUUAUCCUCAGUUAUGGCAACCAAAGAGUGGCUCACAGCUAAUGAUCAAUAUCCUUCCGGAUAUAAAUCCUGAAGAGACUCUGCCCUGCUUUGCAUUGUCCAAGAAUGGCUCAUAUCUCUUGUCAACAUCUGGAGGGAUGAUUUCUCUGUUCAACAUGUUUACAUUUAAGACAUUGAUGAAUAUAAUGCCUCCCCCACCAGUGGCAACAUGUCUGGCAUUCCAUCCUCAAGAUAACAAUAUAAUUGCUAUUGGAACUGAUGAUUCAACAAUAUUAAUCUAUAAUGCCCGCACAAAUAUGGUCAAAACCAAGCUUGAGGGCCACACUAAAAGAGUCACAGGCCUUGCCUUCUCCAACACUCUUAAUAUACUCGUUUCUUCUGGUGCUGAUGCUCAGAUGAUUGUCUGGAAUGUUGAUAGUUGGCAAAACAAGAGAAGCACAUUCUUGCAAAUUUCAGGUGGAGUGGAGUUGGAAACAUAUUCAGACACUUACAUCCGGAUUCACCAAGAUCAGUUGCACUUCCUUGCCGUUCACAAGGCCCACUUAGCAAUAUAUAAAAUUAAAGGCCUAGACUGUGUUAACAAGUGGAUGCCAGGAGCCUCUUCUUCACCAAUAUCGUAUGCAACGUUCUCUUGUGAUAGCCAGAUGAUAUAUGCGAGCUUUUUGGAUGGAACCAUAGCCAUGUUUGAUGCUUCAAUUAAACUGCAGUGUCUAAUUAAUGCCUCUGAUUACCUUACUGUCAACUCAAGUUUGGUUGGCAGUAAGAGUGUGCACCCAGCAGUUAUUGCAGCACAUCCUCAAAAAGCAACCCAAUUUGCUGUUGGGCUGACAAAUGGCGAGGUCCAUGUCCUUGAGCCUCGGGAGCCAGAAGAUGAAGGUAGGUAACUGUGGAGUUGGGCCAUGCAUGCACUGAGAACAAGGGGGAGAGAAAUUGACAGGAACUUAAAAAAUAUAGGUUCAUGGGCCAUGAUGUGAUUGAUUGAGCUUCAGAUUUGGGCAAUGAAUGGCUCCUAUCCUACCUGCAUACAGAUUGUAGAAAAAGAAAUAAGACUCAUGGAAUGGAUUUCAAAUGACUCACGAUCAAGAUCAAGUUUGGUACAAACUAACCUAUCUUUUGAGGAGUUAGUUGAACAUAUUUAUGAAAUUACAGAAAUCGAUCGCAACCUCUUCGAUAUAGAAUUAACUUACAAGAUAACGACAAUGGUGGAGAUUGAACCAAUUGUAAUAAAAAAUUGUAGAGACGUUAGUUUCUUUACAUGGUAAGAGCGUGAUCUAGUUCCAUUAUGUGUGGAUUUGAUAAAAAAGAUAGAAAAUUGUAAUAUUAUGGCCUAACUUUUGAUGAGUUAGUUGAACAUAUUUAUUUUGGACGUGGUAUAAUAUG